CAAAGAAAAUAGAACAUCUCUCCAUUAAAGAAGGUAGAAGCUGUGAUUUUCUGUCAAAGCACAUCAGUUUUCUGUUUGUGUUCACCAUGAAAGUCUGCAGUUAGCUAACCUAGCCCUAAGAUGGAGGCGUGCUAAGCUAACCAAGUGUCCAAAAAAAACCCCAAAAUAUUCAGUUUACUGUCAUUUAUGGCAAAGUAAAACUGCACAAAAGAAGUUAAAACCUGUUAUUUUCUGUCAAAACACAACAAAUUUCCUCAGUUUUCAUCUUGAAAAGCAGCUGUUAGCUGCAGAUGCUAACUCAGAGGCUAAUUCUGCCGUUUGCUGUCCUCCGAUCAGUGUUUUUGCUUUUUGCUGACAUUUCCUGAAACCACAACUGAGUGCAAAGUUUCCAUGAAGCAGAAUCAGGUUCAAUAAUCCUGGAUUCUUCCUGUAAAUGUCUCAUCAGCUCGUAGAUCGUAGCCGCCACUCGUCCGUCUCAAGCUCGGCUGCAUGUUCGGUUAGCGGUGAACAGAAACCACGACUCUGGCUUAGAGGCUGACGAUCAGAUUUUGUAAUAUUCCCUCCUUCCUCCUCCUCCUCCUCCUCCUUCUCCUCCUCCUCCUCCAUGUCCUCGUAAACAGUUUUCAGAUCCCCCUGCAUCUCCGGGGCAGUGAAGGCAUCGUGUUGCCUUCAGUGUCCACGUCGUCGUCCUGCUUCUGGGUGUUUUUAAAAAAGAUCAAACGAGAAAAAAAAAAACAAAACAAGAAAUAAAGGUUGUGAAACGUCUCGGGCCUUGUGUACAGCGGAAUGCUUUCCAGAAAACAACCACCGGAUCAUCGAUAACAGACUAAAAAUGUACAAAACUGUUUAUUCAAGUGUUUGCUUUUACUUUUCGUAAAUUCAGUAUAAUAAAUAAGUUAAUGGCUGCUG